rnacentral:rRNA from 1 species
AAGCGGUGGAGCAUGUGGUUUAAUUCGUAUGAUACGCGAGGAACCUUACCUGGGCUCAAAUGUAUGUUGACGUAUUCUGAAAGGGAUACUUUCUUCGGACAAUAUACAAGGUGCUGCAUGGUUGUCGUCAGCUCGUGCCGUGAGGUGUCGGGUUAAGUCCCAUAACGAGCGCAACCCCUGCAUUCAGUUGCCAUCGGGUGAAGCCGGGCACUCUGGAAGGACUGCCAUCGACAAGAUGGAGGAAGGUGGGGACGACGUCAAGUCAUCAUGGCCCUUAUGUCCAGGGCGACACACGUGCUACAAUGGCCGGCACAACGGGAAGCGAGUUCGCGAGGACGAGCGGAUCCCUUAAAGCCGGUCGCAGUUCGGAUUGAAGUCUGCAACUCGACUUCAUGAAGCUGGAAUCGCUAGUAAUCGCAGAUCAGCCAAGCUGCGGUGAAUACGUUCCCGGGCCUU